GCAGCCAGAGAUGUCUGUUUUGCAGGACGACAUCCUGUGAAGUGAAACAGAACUGCUGAUACUGGCUCCCUUUACAGCUCUGAACACCAGCUUGCUUCACGGUCAUGGCUAUUCACUGUUGACUACCUGCAUGAGGCUAAAAGAAAUAGUCUCACUUGGGCUAGAUGCUCCAUUCUGCUGUAUGCUGCAGAAAGGAACAAGUUCACAGAAGAUAGGAGAUGAAUAUGGGGGAGGAAGAAAGUGGCUUCUGGACCUGUUCACCAUGCCUAGCUGCAGGCAACCAUUCCACAGCCGACUCUACAGUGUGCAUGGGAUGUGGAGUGAGAGUGAUACUAGCUGAAGGAUGGAGAAGCCAUGGUAAGUGCCCACUGCCCCCAAACACUGCAGUACUGUCAUGUAUUUCAGCACGCUGCCGUCUCGGCUAGCAGCGUUAUUUUGCAAGACUGGGAUUAGAAAUGGGAAGCAGAGG